rnacentral:lncRNA from 1 species
UCCUCGUCGUCCUCGUCGUCCUCGUCGUCCUCGUCGUCCUCGUCCUCGUCGUCCUCGUCGUCCUCGUCGUCGUCCUCGUCGUCGUCGUCGUCGUCGUCGUCGUCGUCGUCGUCGUCGUCGUCGUCGUCGUCGUCGUCGUCGUCGUCGUCGUCGUCGUCGUCGUCCUCGUCGUCCUCGUCGUCGUCCUCGUCGUCCUCGUCGUCGUCGUCGUCGUCGUCGUCGUCGUCGUCGUCGUCGUCGUCGUCGUCGUCGUCGUCCUCGUCGUCGUCGUCGUCGUCGUCGUCGUCGUCGUCCUCGUCGUCGUCGUCGUCGUCGUCGUCGUCGUCGUCGUCGUCCU